rnacentral:rRNA from 1 species
AUAUCAAUAAGCGGAGGAAAAGAAACCAACUGGGAUUGCCUUAGUAACGGCGAGUGAAGCGGCAACAGCUCAAAUUUGAAAUCUGGCCCUCUUCGGGUCCGAGUUGUAAUUUGUAGAGGAUGCUUCGGGCAAGGCCCCGGUAUAAAUUCCUUGGAACAGGAUGUCACAGAGGGUGAGAGUCCCGUCUGUUACCGGAUGCCGCGUCCAUGUGAAGCUCCUUCGACGAGUCGGGUUGUUUGGGAAUGCAGCUCAAAAUGGGUGGUAAAUUUCAUCUAAAGCUAAAUAUUGGCCAGAGACCGAUAGCGCACAAGUAGAGUGAUCGAAAGAUGAAAAGCACUUUGAAAAGAGAGUUAAACAGCAUGUGAAAUUGUUGAAAGGGAAGCGCUUGCAACCAGACUUGUGGGCGGUCAUUCAGCCGUUCUCUUGAACGGUGCACUUUGCCGUCUCCAGGCCAGCAUCGGUUUGGGUCGUGAGUGAAAGGCUCCGGGAAUGUAUCAACCCUCCGGGGUUGACUUAUAGCCCGGGGUGCCAUCUCACGUAUCUAGACCGUGGUACGCGCUCUGCACGGAUGCUGGCGUAAUGGUUGUAAGCGACCCGUCUUGAAACACGGACCAAGGAGUCUAACAUCUAUGCGAGUGUUAGGGUGUUAAACCCCUGCGCGUAAUGAAAGUGAACGGAGGUAGGAGCCCUCACGGGUGCACUAUCGACCGAUCCUGAUGUUCUCGGAUGGAUUUGAGUAAGAGCAUAGCUGUUGGGACCCGAAAGAUGGUGAACUAUGCGUGUAUAGGGUGAAGCCAGAGGAAACUCUGGUGGAGGCUCGCAGCGGUUCUGACGUGCAAAUCGAUCGUCAAAUAUGCGUAUAGGGGCGAAAGACUAAUCGAACCAUCUGGUAGCUGGUUCCUGC